rnacentral:rRNA from 1 species
CCCUUAGUAACGGCGAGCGAAAAGGGAAGAGUCCAGCGCCAAGUCUUGACGCCCACGCGUUCAAGAGAUGCGGCGUUAAUGUAUUAUCGCAUCGUACAUUGUUGACUGUUUCAAGUUCCCUUGACAGGGACAUCCAUAGCGGGUGCUAGGCCCAUAGAGGCAGACAACCAGUGUGCGCAGAUAAUGCAUUCUAGAGUCAGGUUGCUUGAGAGUGCAGCUUAAAGUGGGUGGUAAACUCCAUCUAAGGCUAAAUAUGACAGCGAGACCGAUAGCAAACAAGUACCGUGAGGGAAAGUUGCAAAGCACUUUGAAGAGAGAGUUCAACAGUACGUGAAACCACUGGGAGGCAAACAGAUGGAACCACGAAGUUGCGCCUUAUUCGAUUCAAUCAUUGUUGCCAGUUACCGGUUUUUGUGUGGAUCUUUUCGGAGAUUAGCAAGUGUCGUGGAACUGGUUUCAAUGGUGCAUUUCGAGUAAGGAUGCUAAGCCACGUUCGAUUAGAGUUGGGACGGCCGUAGGACAGAAUUCGAGGAAGGUGACCGGAAAGUGCUUGCAUUUUUCGGUGUUAUAGCCUUGAAUUGGUACCGUCGCCUAACAAACUGAUCGAUAGAAAUUCUCCUUAGGAGUUAAACUGUGUCUGCCUGUGGCCGGUAGUCAAUGUUUCGAAGUGUUCUUUACGUAUCUUUGGUGCGGAAAGGCAUUUCAACGAUGUUGGCUAUUGGUUGCUUGCGUGACAUGGUGGAACUGUGGCGCGAGUAGGUCGGUUUCCCUCUGACCC